AAGCUUCAGGGGCACCCACAGACAGUGUAGGGGUGCAGAGAAGCUCCCAGAAUGCCUACAGUCAGAUCUGAUCAGCCAGUAUAAAAACGGGACUCUCGUCGAGACUCCGCCCAUUGUCACGGGUCUCUCGGAGCACGAGCAAGAUGCUGCCGCUGAGAGCCCCCCUCCCCGGGAUGGGGACUCCGCUUGCCUUGCCGCCACGUGUAGCUCUUAGGAAUCCCUGCAAGUGCAAAAAAAACUGUCAGACCUGAGAGAGCCAGCUAAAACAGCUGCAAGCAUCCUCACUUUAAACUGUGACACCUGAGUGGAAAUUAAUUUGGAAGUCACCAUAAUAGCUUGAUGAAGUUGGGCAGAUUAGUCCUACCAGCUGUUUCAUCUCAUUCUAAUACAAAUUUUCUGGAAUUCAAUUAAAGGGGGUAAAGAGUUUGUAUGCUCUUGAAAAGAAGAUAGCCACUUCAGCGGCUGCAUAAAGAAGCCUCUACAGUUUGGUAAAAUAAAAUCAAUUUGUUACCUGAA